AGCUCCAAUAGCGUAUAUUUAAGUUGUUGCAGUUAAAAAGCUCGUAGUUGGAUUUCGGGUGGGCUGCGGCGGUCUCCCAACGGUUGUACUGCCGACGCCUGCCUUGCUGCCGGGGACGGGUUUCUCGCUUCAUUGCCGGGAUCCCGGAAUCGGCGACGUUACUUUGAGUAAAUUGGAGUGUUCAAAGCAAGCCUACGCUCUGAACAUAAUAGCAUGGGAUAACACGACAGGACUCUGGCCUAUCGUGUUGGUCUGUAGGACCGGAGUAAUGAUUAAGAGGGACAGUCGGGGGCAUUCGUAUUCCGUUGUCAGAGGUGAAAUUCUUGGAUUUACGGAAGACGAACAUCUGCGAAAGCAUUUGCCAAGGAUGUUUUCA
rnacentral:rRNA from 1 species